rnacentral:tRNA from 1 species
GGCACAGUGGCCAAGUGGUAAGGUGUUAGUCUCGUAAACCGAAGAUCACGUGUUCGAACCUUGUCCAUGCCU